GCAGGGACAUUCAGAAGCAGAGACAACAGGGCUUGGCUUCUCCACAAAGGGCAGAGAGUUCCAGAGAAGGAAAAGUUGAAGAUUAAUCUAAGCUAUUUAUCCUGGAAGACGGAAAGCAUGGCAAUGCCAUCAGUGAAAUGGAGUUGGCAAUAGGCUCCCAUGGGUUCCUGGGAACCCCGAGAUUAGUAAGAGAAUUGAGAGAGCUCCUUCUGAGAGGAUGUGAUUUUGGCACCUGCUUUCUGCUGGAAAUGGAAACAGCUGAGAGAGAAAGGGGCAUGUGAGGAGAUGCUAUUCAUCAGACAUCUGUGUUUUAAAAAGUUAAUCUGGGAUCCUUCUUAAUAUGUAGAAUGUAAAUAAUCUAAUAUCUUUCAUCCAACAAAGGACAUAAAGAGGAAACUUAUUGGAAUACAUUUAAAUCUGAAGAACAGAAAGAUUGUAUUUUGCUUAAAUACACAUAUGGAUAUAACUUUCUUCAACCAUGUGAAGUGAUAUGAUGUGAAAGAAGAAAUUGCUUUGUUAUAUAGAAUGAAGAUCAGUAGGUAAAAGUAUUAGAAGUUCAAAUUCUGAAUGAUGAUUCUUAGGCCAAUUUGACUUAUUAACGAAGAAUUAUGGACUAUCAUACAAAAUAGUGAUAUUAGCAAACUUUCUCAACCAGAUAUUGUUUUUGGUCUCUCAGAAGAUUAAAGCCAAAGAGAUUCUGGUACUGGACAUUUUAAUAUUAGAGUUUAUGAACAAAAGGGAGAGGAAGAUCCUUCCCUUAAAAAUAAAAUUCAUGAUACAUGAGUCCUAAGCUUUCUGGUGGAAAGAAAAUCUUUAGUUAUCUCCUGAAAUGUUUCCUGUAUAUACUGCUUAUUUUUAAAUACAUUGGGAUCAGUAUCUAUACCGAGAAUAACAAUCUGGAAGAAAAUAAAAAACAUGAUACUUAUUCAGUAAAUACCCUUCACCUAAUCAUAGACUUAAUCAUGUGGUGCAAUCCUGAGGAGCAAAGGUUGGUUGAGUCUCUUACUCAAAGCUUAAGUUAAGGGGAUACAGAAAAUAGCAGAGUUGGGAGGUACAUAGAUCUCAGCACUAAUUAGGAACCUGAAUCCCGAACACUGGCAAGGGAAUUCGGAAUGAGUUUUUUAAAUUAUGGGACCAGAAGCAGACAGACACCAAAUACUGGAGGUAGUGUUGGAGAGAAGAGUGAGCCCAGGAGUGAGCGAGAAAGUGGAUUCAGAGCAAAGAGAAAGCAGAACCGGGCAUGACUGUUUUUUCUUUUUUCUAAGUGGGACUUCUCUGUGCUCAACUACAGGAAAAAUCACAGCAUGAGUCAGAGAGUUGUGUUGUUUGAGGUAUUUUUGUCCAAAAUAAGGGAGUGAACCUAAAGCAAGAGAUCUGUAGGGGCUUCUAUACUGCUGAACCAAUAAACUUGCGCUAUUUAUUUUGCAACCAAUUUGAGGCUUUACAAGAGAUAUAAAUGUGGCUCAGCCUCCUUUGCUCACUCCAUUCCUUAUUCCUGUAUGUGUGUGUGUAUGUAAAAUAUAUAAUUCUAGAUAUAUAUGGAAUAAAAGAGAUAUCCCAAAUUUUUUGUCUAAGUUAAAUUAAAUCCAGACUGAGGUUCAUCAACAAGUUGACAAAAAAAAAAAAAAAAAAAAAGGUGUUUUUUUGUUAAGAAUCAUCCUCUUGUGUGCCCCAUUGGUAUAAAAAUGUCCAGCACCUCAUCCCAGAAAAAAAAAGGAAAUAAGUUAGUUCUAGAUCUCAGUCCAUUGGAUCAUCCCUGUUAAUAAUUCUAACUCCCAGUACCCAUGUGAAAGUGAGUGUACUUCAUAAGGAAAAACAUGAGAAGCUGCCCAAGGCUCCUCACGCUUAGUGCCAAGUGCCGGAGGGCAGUGUCCUCCAAUCCCUUUUGCAUAGGAAGUCUACAGUUAGAGAUUAAACAAGGACAGUGCUAUUUUUCUAAGUCUCAUCAUUGCUUCCUGCCUAUUUUUUCUUCCCUGUUCUACCUGGCUUCAAAAAUAAUUUAUAAUACCUUAAGAAAAAACAUGGAUGUAGCAAGGUCAUAUUUCUUUAAACCAGAGGAAAGAAAAUACAUAAGACUUAUUAUGAAAACUGGAUAUGAAUGAGGCAUUUGAAUACAGAUGUAGGGACAGAGCGGCAAUGGCAAGGCACGCAGCAAAAUAAGGACAACAUAGCCUCUGUCUCAAGGGAUUUACAGCUCACCAGGGGAAAUACCAAUAAUAAUAAUUAAAAUAAUAGUAACCCCUUCAGUUUGCACAGCAGUUAAGCUUAUAUAUAGCUCUGGCAUGCAAGGCCUUUGCUUGCACAGAGUGGCCUUGUGCAAAUUACAGAAAAGUGCCCCUUCCAGCUGGAUAAAUUAGGAAAGUGUACCCAUGCUCCCAACCUGUCUCAAGUGGAGUUCCUCACCUGAACCACAGGACACCAAAAAUAAUUUCAGCAACUCUUUUCUCAGUUAUUCAAGGAUGGUACGUACAUGGUAGAUGGAUAGCAGAUGCGUUACUUAACUGCACGCAGCGGGUGCCUUAGGGCACUAGAGCUUGAGUCCCUUAUCAAACUCUAAAUGAGAAGGAUUCCUGGAUGCAGACUUAGACUGGACUCAGCCCCUAUUCUCUCCUUCAUCGGCACAGUCGAAUACAGUGGCCCAGAGAGCUGCUUUGCUUUUAUUAGUGCUCUGACUUGCUUCGGGUCUCUAACUAGAAGCUAAAUCACAAUCCCUCAUUGCCUCAUCAUGGUAAGCACCAAAAGAGGGUAAAAAAGAGGGUACAUUUGUCCAGGGAGUCAAAAAGUGUUUUUUGUCCAAAAACCAAAAAAAAUAUUUCACGAAGAAAAUAUCUAAUAUUUUAGCCCUGCCCCUGUGAUAUGAUUUUAAUUGUUGGAAUGGGGAAGGAGGGUCCUAGUAGAGGGCGCCGAGGUGUGGAUGCAUCUCAAUUUUGCUGGAGUAGAAAGUUUGUGAAGGAAAGUAAGUUAUGACAACACGGUGGAGGAUGUCAAAAGUGACUGAGGCACUUGAAGAUACCAGCAGGAACGAGGGAGCGAGGGGAGGAAACUCUGGUACCAGUGUGUGUAAUAGAUUCAAGGACAAUGACUUCAAUGCUUAUAGUAUCUUUAACCUGUAACAACCACUAAUAAAUCUGCUUAUGUUCUAGUAAAAAAUAAUGUGAACUCAAGGGAAGAGAUAAGAGUUGGGAAGGCCGCAAGAAUAUUGGUUAGGAGCCAUAGCUACGGUCGGACAGACUUGGGUUUACACCCCCCCCCCUACUACUUAUUACUAACAUGAAUGGAGACAUUGUGUUUUCUGUGCCAGUUGCCACAUUAAUAAGAUGAAUUUUAAAAUUUGGAAACACCCAUCUCAACGGUUGUUUUAAGAUUUAAAAUACAUCAAGGACAUAACCUCUGUAAGAGCCCGACAUACUGAAGUUCUCAGUAAGUGGGGUGAUGAUGAUUGAGGAUGGGGGAGAAAAAGGAGACAGAAGGGGCAGGCGCAGGGCUGGGUCAGCCUGCAGCGUGACCUGCCCUGCGACUGGAAGUAAGGGCGAGGGCAAAGGCCUGCAGAGUCCGGGGGACCUGAGGCCCUCAAGGGUCCAGGACCCGGAGGAUGGAGGUGGCUUUCAGAGAGUCAGGGCUACCAGCCAGGGGGAAGCUCAAGUCUGAACGGGAAAAUCAAACGACUGCGCAGAUGGUUAGAGGACAUGGUGCAAGUCCAGGUCACCCCCCAACCCACAGACACAGAACUCGGGGCUCCACGAGAGGGACAGCUCCCCAGCCUUCGGCGACGCUGUGGCCUCAGUGCCGUCUAGCUCCGUGCCCCUCAGUGUGGUCCAUGCACCUGCAACACGCAGCCCUCGUCAGAAAUGCAGAAUUGGUCUGUGUGUCCUUUUCUGUGCCAGGACCUCACCGUCCUGGUGACCACAGCUUUGUGGUACAGCUGAACCCCGGCAUGUGGACGCCCUCGGCACUGGUUUUCCUUUACAGCAUUCCUCCGGCUAUUCAGGGUCUGGAUGGGGUGAGCACUGGGUGUUAGACUCUAUGUUGGCAAA